rnacentral:rRNA from 1 species
UCAGACGAUGCGUCAUGCAUAUCAAUAAGCGGAGGAAAAGAAACUAACUAGGAUUCCCUUAGUAACGGCGAGUGAAGCGGGAAGAGCUCAAAUUUGAAAUCUUAAAGGGUUUCCCUUUACGAAUUGUAGUUUAAAGAAGUGUUUUCUGUUAGAGUUUCGGUAAAAGUUCUUUGGAAUAGGACAUCAUAGAGGGUGAGAAUCCCGUAUUUGACCGUUAUUUCUAGCUUUGUGAUACACUUUCAAAGAGUCGGAUUGUUUGGGAAUGCAGUCCUAAAUGGGUGGUAAAUUUCAUCUAAAGCUAAAUAUUGGCGAGAGACCGAUAGCGAACAAGUACCGUGAGGGAAAGAUGAAAAGAACUUUGAGAAGAGAGUUAAACAGUACGUGAAAUUGUCAAAAGGGAAGCGUUUGACACCAGUGUUGUUUUCUCGAAAAUCAAUUAAAAAAGGCAGGAUUUUGUGUUGUAUUGACUUUAUCAGCUUUCUGCACUCUUUUCUUGUCUUUUUUUAAUGCACUUCUCGUUUAACAAGUCAACAUCAAUUUCUUUUGUUGUAAAAGGGUCAUUGGAAGGUGGCUUUCUUUUCGGAGAAAGUGUUUAUAGCCUUUGGCCUCUGCAAUCGGAGAGAUUGAGGUCUGCAGCGUAGAUCCUUCGGGGUUAGAUACAUUUGUGCUAAGUUAUAGCCUUUCAUAGACAACUUGUUGACUAUGAUCAGUCAUGUAGCUUACUCGCUUAUGCUAUUUUACCUACGCUUAGGAUGUUGAUCUACAGAGCGAGAGU